rnacentral:lncRNA from 1 species
GUGCAGAGGGGGGUUGUUAAAAUGUCUCUUUUCCUUCUUUCUCCAAAUUCCUUGGACGUUCUGGCAGUUGCGAAGUGAGAAGGAGACGAGGAAUAAACUGAUUGAAGCUGACAUGAAUGGCAAGCCUCAAAGCAGACUCUUCCCCAAGUACGUCUUUCCUCUUUGUUGUAAAGAAUCUACAGAGGGAGUACUGGGAGCCCAGGUUCAUGUCUUAACAGUCACUGCUGUUCGUGUUCAUUUCAUGGUUUCUUUUAAAUCUGAGCUCUCUCAAUACCAUUUAAACUGUUUCUUAACAUCCCUACUGAGUGAUAGGACAAGGAGUGGCGCUGGUGCUUGGACCCCAGCUUCUGUUCUUGCUGAGCAUCAGUUUGAACUCUGGGCUGAGAACUGCACUUCGUAAUUGCCCAGAGCCCAGCCAAUGUUUGAGUUGCACUAGGAAAAGAGAAGCCUCAUGUCUUUGGAUUGAGAAAUGCUAGCAAAUGUAGGAAAGUGAGACUGGCGUUGGAAUCCAUGGGAAAUGGGCAGUGCUGAAGUGCUGGGAUGUUGAGCCUGUAGAUGGAUUCUGUCCUUUGCUUGUUCUGUAUGUGGCAAAUCAUGGGUGCUCCUGAGAAGUAAAACUCCAAAGUAACUCGCUUGCUGGUAGUCCUUGAAAUGUCUCUGUCUUGCAGCAAGGAGAAGAUUCUGUAUGAGGAAGACACGCUGAAGUCCGUGGAGAUGGAGGAAGAGAACAAGGACUCCAGCAGUUCUAGUUCUGAAGAGGAGGAAGAAGCUGAAGAAGAUGAAGUUUCAGAAUCAGAUGCUGAAAAGGAAUCAGAAAGGAAGGAAGAGCCCUUUGCCAACCACUCCAGCCAUGAAACCAGGCCUAGCAUCACUGAGCAAAUACCACCACCUGAGCCCAACUCCUUCACUGCAUCUGCCAGAAGAGUAAGUGAAUUUAGCAUCAAUGGGGACUCCAGCAGUGCUGGCGAGCAGUAGGUUCUACUGGGAAAUGGAUGCUGUGAUUUUCAGAGGUGUUGUAAGACUUGAAUGUAGGAAAGCAUGAUAGUAUGCAGUGUUGAUAAAACUGUGUUAACAGUAUAGGACUGGCAUGAAGGAGGAUGUCUGAGCAAUAAGGUUCCUCUUGAAUCUUUUACCCUCCAAAGCAAAUUGCAGUGUUCAAAAGAGAAACCCAGCUUACCACAAGUGCUUUGUGUCACUGUCAGUUCUCAGAUACCUGAUGCCAACCUUUGGCCAGAGGAGAUCUUUCACCAAAGUUGGUUCCUGCUGAUGUAUCAGCAGUGAAUUUGGCAUCAUCACCUAAAGUGCCUCUGACUUGCUAAACUCCCUUGUUUCAGUGGCAUGAUGUUACAGCCCGAUAAGCAGAGAGGAUAA